AGUCUAGGCGGUUUGGUAAGUGGGAUGUGAAAUCCCCGGGCUCACCCCGGGACCCUGCAUCCCAAACUGCUGAGCUUGAGUACAGGAGAGGGUGGGGGGAAUUCCAGGUGUAGCGGUGAAAUGCGUAGAUAUCUGGAGGAACACCGGUGGCGAAGGCGCCCACCUGGCCUGCUACUGACGCUGAAGCUCGAAAGCUAGGGGAGCAAACGG
rnacentral:rRNA from 1 species